rnacentral:sRNA from 1 species
UGAUAUUGCUCGGUAGACCGACGGUCCU